rnacentral:lncRNA from 1 species
UUUCCCACCCCUCGGAGUGGAGCUGCACAUGCGGCUGCUCCCUGUUCUGUCCCGCCCAGCCACCGUCGCUCAGGAACGGGUCCCUGCAGCCCCCAGCCGAUGGCAGGACAGUAGUCGCCUGUCAGGGGUCGUGAAGGACUGAGGCAGAGGCAGAGGCUCCCGGGCCUCAGAUAGUGGUUGUCUCUGGAGGCCAUGGGCUACCCAGAGGUAGAGCGCAGGGAACCCCUGCCUGCGGCAGCGCCAAGGGAGCGGGGCAGCCAGGGCUGCGGCUGUCGCGGGGCCCCUGCUCGGGCGGGCGAAGGGAACAGCUGCCGGCUCUUCCUGGGUUUCUUUGGCCUCUCGCUGGCCCUCCACCUGCUGACGCUGUGCUGCUACCUAGAGUUGCGGUCCGAAUUGCGGCGGGAACGGGGAACCGAGUCCCGCCUCGGUGGCCCGGGUGCUCCUGGCACCUCUGGCACCCUAAGCAGCCCUGGGAGCCUCGACCCGGUGGGUCCCAUCACCCGCCACCUGGGGCAGCCGUCCUUUCAACAGCAGCCUUUGGAACCGGGAGAAGAUCCACUCCCCCCUGACUCCCAGGACCGGCACCAGGUGAGUCACCUAGGAGGGGCGGCGGCCUUGGAGGCCCCCUCCCCUGCUCGGUUGGGCGGGGGCCUGGGCCUCAGGGCUCAGGGGACUCUGCCACUCAGAGCCAAGUUCCAGGGCAGGAGCUGGGAGUGGGCCGGAGUGCUGGGGAGAGGUUGUCCAGGUCAGGUUGUUCUCGGUUCCUGCCUUGGCUCAUCCAGACCCUCUCCGGUCCCGUGGAGUUGGAAAGCCCAGCCUGCACGCGCCGCCCCCGGGGAGGUGUGGGCUGCUUAGCGAAAAGUUGGCCUGCCUUGCACCCAUCCGGGCGCGGAGGUGCCUGCGCCGCCCCCGUGGCCGUCUAACGGCGAGCAGCUUGGCCCCUCGUGCCCCCUGGUGAGUUUCUCUGCCCGUGGUGCUUGUUUCUUCGUGUCCCGAGCUGAUGCCAGCACUAGCAGGCUCCUCUUUGGAGUUGGAGCUGUAAACAGCUGUACUAACUGUUCCACGCCCGUUGAAACAACUUUUAACCAUACUUUCAGCGCUGGAUUCUUGUGCGCUGACCAGGACCUGAGCUUUUUUCACACUUACCUGCAACUUGAGACGGAUUCUCUUCUGCGUUCUAGUUAGGAUCAGCGCCCCUGAGGAAUUCUGGUAGAAAUAUGCCGUCUUGCUAGACAACUUCUGAACAGCAAUUUAAAAAAUCUAUGGAAAUAAAACUCACCCUUUGCAUGCCGGUUCUGACACUCUUGUAGAUGGAGUUGGGUGCAGUGGGUGUGAAGAGUUUUCAUUAUUGCUGCCUUUGGAACAGGAAGUUGGAUUUUUGUUUUGUUUUGAUAAUCUUUAGAGGGUUUGUAUCUCUUUUAGCAAACCAUUAUCGUAGUUGUUUUUCUUACUCGUUAUUCCAGCAAAUUUAGUGUACUUGAUAUUAAGUCUUCCUGUGGUUUCCAUAGCUGUCUCACACUUGAAUCUUAGGCAGAACAUCCAAGAAUCUUUUUGAGGUGGUUAAAGAUUAAUGGUGAAUUUGUAACUUCUGGAGAAAACGACACUUUGUGUAAGUAAGCUACUUGAGGUGAGACAUGGAAGCCUUCUGUACUUGGUGCUAUACCCAUAGUUAUUGUCACAACUCUUUAAACAUUAUUUGUGUUGCUUUGACUUUCCAAGUUGUACACUUUAGAGGUGUCACAUUCAUAAUAAUACUCUAGUGUCAGAACACACACUUUCUCUUCUUUUCCUUUCUCUCUCUGUGUCUCUCUUCCUUCCUUUCUUUCUUAACAAUGUGCUUUGUAAAAUUGCUUCAGACCUAAAAUGUCUUUCAAAGACACUCAAAUUUAUAUAACUGCGUAUCAAAGAAGAGAAUCAGUAGACGGGCUUCUCAUACUUGAAAUUUUAAACACCGGGGCUAAAUGACAAUGAAUUAGGACUCUGGGUCUUUUAUUUACUACCCCCCUCCAGGAUCCUAGUAGAGGUACUUAGCAGCUGCACCUUGAUAUUCUCUCUCUCUCUCUCUCUCUCUCUCUCUCUCUCUCUCUGUAUGUACACACACACACACACACACACACACACACACACACUCACUCAAAAGAAAUCAGGAAAUUACUCAAAUGGUGGUCAAGGAUUUUUGGCAAUCAGGAUGGACAGAGCGCUGGUUAGAGAUUGUGGGACAGCAGUAUACUAGAGCUUCUGUGAUGGCAUGGGACUCUCACAGCUUUGCAAUGGCCUUUAGUUGCUUACAUCAGAUGUAGCAAAAAUACUUAUGUGUUUCAGCACAGCUUCUUAUCUGCUAUCCUUUAGUCUAUUUUAGUCUAUGGGGCAGUCAAAGCAAUGAUACCAGUUCUUUACAUUCAUUAGCAUUAAUUGGAAUUUAUGUUUUCCAGAUUUGUAAGGUACCUCCUGAAUCUAUUUUAUUGAUUCCUUUGGAGAACAUACAGGCCUCAAGGGAGAAGUAAGUGGCCCAAGAUAUCCUAGCUUGAGUCAAAACUAGGAUGAAGGUGCUCUGCCAUCCUCCAGUUUAGUACACAGUCCUCCAUAAUAUAGUGUCUACUGAGAAACUUUGUUUUUGAGGGGGGCGAUGAAGGGACAACAGGUUGAAACUCCAUAGUAGGCUUUUUACAAAAUGAGAGGCUCAGAUCUGUGUCACUUUGUUCUGCUCUAACUAAUUUUGACCAGACUAAGUUUAAUCACAUAUUCCUUAUUCAUCUUGAAUUUCACUUUCAGGAGAAUUUUAGCCCACUGAAGACAUUUUAUCCCAGAUUCAACUAAUUUGUUUUGGUGAUAUUAGCCUUAGCAUAUACACAAACAAACAAACAAAUAUAUAAAUGAAUGAGUAAAUAAAUAAAGGAAAAGUUGAUUGGCUAAUUGAUUUACAUUGCUGUGCUAUAUCUUGGGUAACAUUUCUAGUGCCCUGCUGCACCCUCUGCUGGUUUUUCGGUGACAUUUAAUCGUAGGUAGUAUCUGCUGACAGUCAAAAUUCUAAGUUGUGCUGACAGAUUCUGAUUCAUAAAUAAGGAAGUGAAUAACCUUGUGGGACUUGGCCAUGUAGGUCUUAUUUUAUAUUUUAGUUUUUCAACAUAAGCAGAUGUUGUUACAGCAAACCUUGUAUGCAGAGGACUAGAAACAAAGCCAGCAUCUUCCAGUGGGUACUAUACUUGGGUUUCCUACCAACAUAUUUAGAAAGAGUAAAGGGAAACUGAUGCAACUAAACUGUGGUGAGCCCAACAAUCAGUGGCUUUUCAUUAUGAGUGGUCAGACAUGUAUUUAGGCAAGGAAAAAGGUAUUCAUACUUAUGAGAUGGUUGGACUGUGGGCUCUUAAUCAUGACUCAAGGAAAGACUCCAGAAGUCAUUGAAGGUUUGUCUGUACCAUACUGGAAUUAAACAAACAAACAAACAAACAAACAAACAAAGCAGGAUAUGGAAAGAAUUCAGGACACAAAGUAGGAAUAUAAGCAAUUCUCUGCAAGGGAGAUUUUGGAAAGGUAGGGACAUGGUUUCAUAAAAACUGAGAGGUUGACAUUAGCGUUUCUGGAAUCAGGGGCUGUCUCCCUCAGCUGAAGGAGUAGCUGCAUAUGGAUACUUAGUGAAGAUAAGUUUGAUGGCUAGAGAUGCACCAGUAGUGUCUGAUUUUGACAACAAAUAAUUCAAAACAUUGAAAAUCACUGGAUAACACUGUAGAGAAGAAGGUCUGGUCAUGAUUAUGUCUCUCAAAUGUCAAAAACAUGGCGGAAAAAUCUCAGCAACGUGUCAACAACAAAACAAACCUUUUUUUUCCAUGAAGAAGAUCAGAUGUGAUUUUUUCCCUACAAUCAGAAAGAAAAUUCUGAUGACUGUU